AACGAACGCUGGCGGCAUGCCUAACACAUGCAAGUCGAACGAGACCUUCGGGUCUAGUGGCGCACGGGUGCGUAACGCGUGGGAAUCUGCCCUCUGGUACGGAAUAACUCAGGGAAACUUGAGCUAAUACCGUAUAAUGACUUCGGUCCAAAGAUUUAUCGCCUGAGGAUGAGCCCGCGUCGGAUUAGCUAGUUGGUGAGGUAAAAGCUCACCAAGGCGACGAUCCGUAGCUGGUCUGAGAGGAUGAUCAGCCACACUGGGACUGAGACACGGACCAGACUCCUACGGGAGGCAGCAGUGGGGAAUAUUGGACAAUGGGCGAAAGCCUGAUCCAGCAAUGCCGCGUGAGUGAUGAAGGCCUUAGGGUUGUAAAGCUCUUUUACCCGGGAUGAUAAUGACAGUACCGGGAGAAUAAGCCCCGGCUAACUCCGUGCCAGCAGCCGCCGUAACAC
rnacentral:rRNA from 1 species